AUGUACCCCUCGUCCUCCCAGCCCCCUCUGAGGGGGUCUCGUCCCCUCUUCCAGGCUCAGGGCUCAGUCACUGACUGGCCCGAGGCCCACGGGGGUACCCAGAGGCAUGUGGGCUUCAGCGCCAACAGUGCCGGGCUGAAGCCCCCAGCCCCCAUCAUGCUUCCCUUGGGCCCCCCACACGGGCCUGGGGGAGGCUCCGUUAUUGCUGUUUUUCUGCUGGGAACACUAAAGUGGAGGAUCUUGGAGGAGCCAGGACGCCAGCUCAGGCUUCCGGACUCCCCCGCCCUCCAAACGGGUUGGGCUUGGGGAGGUGCACGUGAUGAAGAGGGGAGGGCAGAGCCCUGGGUGGGCUCUGGAGGGGCUCCCGGGGGGCUCCCUGGGAGCUGGAUGGGGCUUUUCCUUGGCCGAGCCUGGGGGGAAGGAGGAGGAAAGAGAGAUGGAUGGAGGAGUGGCUGUGAGCUGUGUCCUGGCUCCUGCUCACCUCCUAGGGCCCCCACGGGGUCCUGUCCAGUACCCCCUCUGCCCCACCGGCCCCAGCUGCUGGCUGUGAUUAAUGGGGCAAAUCAGUCAGCCGGGAGGCCCGGGGUGCCACAGGGUGCUCCCAUCAGCCCGCUGGCCUUGCCCCCCGGGGUGCCCCCUGCAGAGCCUGGGACCCGGCCCCCCUUCCAUAUUGAAAUCAGCUUUUGUCACCAGAGUUCUGAACCUCAGCUUCCCAGAGGCAGGGAGGGGCCUGCUGGGGGUCACCCUGUAGGCACCCCAGAGCAGCUGCUGCCCAAGGCCACACACAAAACGGAGGGAGAAACGGGGGCUCCUGCCCGCUCUGACAAGGUCAGGGGGACUGUGAGGGCCCUGAGCCAGGUCCUGUCUGCCCGCCUGCCCUCAGCACAGCCCUUUCUCCGUGGCAGCCAUCCUCCAGGGACGCACCCAGAGAGCCACCGAGUCCAGCCACAUGCAGCCAGCCGCGUGACACGUGUGGAGCACCUGCUGUCUGCACAGGAUACAGCAGGGGAUCAGAGACGAGAGCUCCUGGUCCAGGCGGGAGACGGACAUCAGGAAAGCACACAAGCGGAAGGCUCCUCUCCAGGGCCCAGCUCUCGCGUGGACAGGCUGGGCUCAGCUCAGGCCUCUUCGCUCUGGCAUCCAUGCCCGCCCCAGGCAAGCACAUCCUGGCUCGUGGCUUUAGAGUCCCUCUGCAGGCAGCAGUGCCUGCUGUCACGUCUCCUGCAACCCGGCUCACACCCACGGCUGUUCGGCAUGUCCGCCUAA
rnacentral:lncRNA from 1 species